ensembl:lncRNA
UGUUCAUGUUUUAUGUGCUUGUAGGAGCACACAGCAUUGUCAUACAUACAUUUAUUAAGGGAUUGUGCUAUGCAGAACUAUCAUUCCAUAAAUUCUAAACUUAAAGGCAUCUUCCUUUAUUUUCUUUAUGUAAUAAUAACAUGCAUGACUCCUAAAAAUGUAAGAACUUUUGCUGACUUGUGAUAAUGACAUUUGGUGAGAACUUGAAUAAGUCACUGAGCAGUAUGGAUUUACCUCAUCUAGAGUUUUGUCUUGCCCAUGCUUGCUGUUGCACAUUUUAGCUUUUACUUUAAAAAGAACUACAUAAAACAACCAUUAAUAGCCAUUAUGUGAUCCACUGCUUAGAGUCAUGUGGGUUCAUUUUUAUUAUGAAAUUACCAAAGUAUAUCAAAGUAUUCUCACAGUGAAAUUUAAAAUAAAACUGCUAAAGCAGUUAUAGGUCUUGUUUAUGCCUAAUAUUAUAGAUAUCCUAUUUUUCCUCAUAGAUUCAGUUUUUAAAAAAAUAUUAUAUUGGCUGUUUUAUCAGAUGUAAGCACUUUGGUAUACUCUCCCUGUUUGAAGUUAUUGAAAAAAUGGAAUAUUUCUCAACAUCUAUAAAUGAUUUAAGGAAAUUAGAUGAUAAACUACUGAAAUCCAGUGAAAUUAUCAUUUUGGCACAUGGCAUGAUUUUGAACUUCUUUUGUAUCCUGGUGACUGUAGUUACAUUUUCCUGUUUCAUUUUACGUGCUGUACACUGACUCUCAUAGGGAAUGCAAUGGAAGGCAAAAUUUGUAUGUUAACUGAUUUGUUUUCUUUCUUUUAUAAUAAUAACAUCAAGUUUUUUUCAGAAAGGCUGUGUACCUGUAUCUUAACCUCAGUGAUUAGUGUCUGAACCACUCUCACCUGAACAUUACAUGUAACAGUGUAGUUUUAAUGCCAUGACAUUGUUCAUAUUGGUAUCUUGGGCCACGAUUUAUAGUCGUUUCUUGAGGACUGUUCAGGAUUUUUCACUAAGGACUCUUGCUUCAAGAACAGAAAAGGUUGUGAAUUACGAAGAAUACUGUCUUUUCUCUGUAAUGCUUGAAUUAUGAGGAGCCAGUUGGAGCAACUGAACUCAAAAGGAACCUUCCUGCCUGUGUCCGAUGUGCCUUUGGACAUUCCUGCUCGGACACACAACGAACCUGUGUUGCUUUCGGAGAACGCCUCCCAAGUGGCACCUCUGCAGACUGAAAGGAGGGCUAAAAUCUGUAAUUGGAUUAACUUGACGCAACAUGACAUACUGUGCACAUCAUGAAUGAAGUGGAUUCUUGUUCUGAGAUAAAACGGGCUGUAUAUUUUGGCUUCAGCACUCACUACCUAACCAAACAAGCAGAACUGUGGAGUUGUGCCAUAGACACAGGCUGGUCCUUCAAAAGGCAAAAAGUCAGUUUUGUAUUACUUUUUUGUUCCCAUUCUUCUCAGUCAAUCAUUGCGCUGUUGUGGCAGUCAUUUCCCUAGAAAGCUAAAAUAUUACUCUCAUGUCAGCUUAUUUGGUGGUGACUGAGGGAUAAACCUUCUUAAGAGGUCAUAUAUUUUGCUUCUGUCUUCAUUUGAAAUUUAAAAAAGUAGUUUUUGUAAGCUAGGGAACAUAGUGUUUUGAUUUCAUGCCCUUUUUUUAUACGUAUAGUUGCAUGUUGUUUUGGUUUCGUUUGUUAGUAUUUUAAAAUUUGUUUCAUUAUUAGACAUGGGAAGUUAAGACUGGUGUUUGUGCAUGCACCAGCACAGCCAGCAGUCACUGCACCAGAGGAAGGACCUCAACUUUAGGGAUUACAGUUCAUAAGUAAAGUUUUCAGACAUUUUUUUUUUUUUUUUUUUAAAUGCUUUCCACAUUUUGUUAUAUUUCAGGCUCAUCUUAAGGUGGAGUCAAUUCUUUUUUCUUUUUUUUUCAUCAAUCUGCACACAAUGCUCCACAAUGACAAAGC